UACGAAGGUGGCAAGCGUUGUUCGGAUUUACUGGGCGUACAGGGAGCGUAGGCAGUUGGGGAAGCCCUCCGUGAAAUCUCCAGGCUUAACCUGGAAAGUGCAGAGGGGACUGCUCGGCUAGAGGAUGGGAGAGGAGAGCGGAAUUCCCGGUGUAGCGGUGAAAUGGGUAGAGAUCGGGAGGAAGGCCGGUGGCGAAGGCGGCGCUCUGGAUGAUUUCUGACGCUGAGGCGCGAAAGCGUGGGGAGCACACAGG
rnacentral:rRNA from 1 species